UUGUGCUUGCUCUGGCAGCACAAAUACUAGAAAAUCGGAACGAUACAGAGAUUAGCAUAGCCCCUGCGCAAGGAUGACAUGCAAAUCUGUGAAGUGUUUCAUAGGUUU